AGCUCCAUAGUCUAGUGGCCAAGGAUGCGACCCUCUGGAGGUCGAGACCCAGGUUCAAAUCCUGGUGGAGCUA
rnacentral:tRNA from 1 species